rnacentral:rRNA from 1 species
UACGUAGGGUGCAAGCGUUGUCCGGAAUUAUUGGGCGUAAAGAGCUCGUAGGCGGCUUGUCGCGUCUGCUGUGAAAACGCGAGGCUCAACCUCGCGCCUGCAGUGGGUACGGGCAGACUAGAGUGCGGUAGGGGAGAUUGGAAUUCCUGGUGUAGCGGUGGAAUGCGCAGAUAUCAGGAGGAACACCGAUGGCGAAGGCAGAUCUCUGGGCCGUAACUGACGCUGAGACUCGAAAGCAUGGGGAGCAAACAGG